UUGGUCCUAAACUUGCCAUUGUUUUUAAUAAAAAUUACACAUGCAAGCUUCAACACACCAGUGAAAAUGCCCACCACCCCCCAAACAGCCUACAGGAGCAGGCAUCAGGAACACCAAAUGUAUGCCUACGACGCCUUGCUAUGCCACACCCACAAGGGCCCUCAGCAGUGAACAAUAUUAAGAAAUAAGCGAAAGCUUGACUUAGUUAUUAUUAGUCAUGGUCGGUAAAUUUCGUGCCAGCCACCGCGGUUAUACGAAAGACCAGAAACAAUGCCCUGCGGCGUAAAGAGUGAGAACGGCACGAUCGCUUUAAAGGAAAACCACAACAAAGUUGUAAAACACUACUGAUUGCAGGAACCACAACAAUAAAGUGCCUUUAAACCCCCCCCCUCACGAAAGCUAAGAGACAAACUGGGAUUAGAUACCCCACUAUGCUUAGCCGUAAACAAAGACAGUCCCAAUACAAUACUGUCCGCCAGAGAACUACAAGCAAAAACUCAAAACUCCAAGGACUUGGCGGUGCUCCAUAUCGACCUAGAGGAGCCUGUCCUAUAAUCGAUACCCCCCGAUUCACCUCACCACUUUUUGAAAUUCAGCCUAUAUACCGCCGUCGCCAGCCUGCCUUAUGAGAGAAACAAAGCAGGCAAAAUAGUUAUUAACUAAGACGUCAGGUCAAGGUGUAGCUUAUAAAGUGGAAGAGAUGGGCUACACUCUCUUCUUCAGAGAACACGAACAGCACCAAUGAAACACUGCUUAAAGGUGGAUUUAGUAGUAAGACAGACUAGAGAGCCUGUCUUAAACCCAGCCCUGGAGCGCGCACACACCGCCCGUCACCCUCAUCA
rnacentral:ncRNA from 1 species